GGGGAUCUUCUAAAUCAGAAUAAAACACGUUCUCCACUCAAGUCAGAAGAACUGUCCAUUCAAAGCCUACAGUGCCAACCUAUGACAAGAUUGCAGGAUGGCCUGUUAGGAAGCCCACAAUGACUUUCCCAUUCACUAUAAGUUACCCACAGAUGAAAGAAUUUCACAAUGUCACAAUGAAUUUGGUUGCCGACACAGAGAUCCUAGAUCUAAGGAGAUUUCAGGAGGCAGAGGUAGGCUGCUGAACACAUGCCAUUGAACAGCUAUUAUAUAACUUGAGUGUUUACAAAGUAACUUAAGCUGUAGAUGGAGCCAUAUCAGGUCCAGGUGCUAGAGAACUUUCCAUUAAAUCUUUAAUUUUGAGANNGCUAAUGCGGUGGUCUGAGUGCCUGAUACUUUUAGCCGAGGCAGACAUUUCCUAAAGGGCUGGAGACAAGCAGUACCUAACAAGAGGACCUAACUCCCCUGGCAGCUCCUCAUUAAUUAGAUCUGGCAGCCAUGUUCGAUCUUAAACUUAAAUUUCCAAGGACAGCCCAGCUUCCUGUAGAAACCCCAGAAAGAGGGCAGCCAAUCAGCAACUGCCCUGAUGUCUGGCCAAGGGCUUAUAACAGGUAUGAAAGAGUCCCUAUAAGGUAGCAAUCUCUCCCUUGAGGUACAAACCAACCAGAAAUUUACGAAUAUCCUAUACCAUAAAGCUCAACCAAUCCUGGUGAAGGUGACCCAACUACAACUGGAAAACUCCAACUGGUUCUAAAAGGGGCCUACUAGCCUCCCUCAUGGUCCCUGAUUGUGCUUGGAUGAUUGACCCCUACAUGCCAGCUGUAUUUGAAGAAUAAAAGUUCUGUGUCUUUGCAU
ensembl:processed_transcript